rnacentral:rRNA from 1 species
AUUGAACGCUGGCGGCAGGCUUAACACAUGCAAGUCGAGCGGGGGAAGGUAGCUUGCUACCGGGCCUAGCGGCGGACGGGUGAGUAAUGCUUAGGAAUCUGCCUAUUAGUGGGGGACAACAUCUCGAAAGGGAUGCUAAUACCGCAUACGUCCUACGGGAGAAAGCGGGGGAUCUUCGGACCUUGUGCUAGUAGAUGAGCCUAAGUCGGCUUAGCUAGUUGGUGGGGUAAAGGGCUACCAAGGCGACGAUCUGUAGCAGGUCUGAGAGGAUUAUCCGCCACACUGGGACCGCGACACGGCCCAGACUCCUACGGGAGGCAGCAGUGGGGAAUAUUGGACAAUGGGGGGAUCCAUGAUCCAGCCAUGCCGCGUGUGUGAAUAAGGCCUUAUGGUUGUAAAGCACUUUAAGCGAGGAGGAGGCUACUCUAGUUAAUACCUAGGGAUAGUGGACGUUACUCGCAGAAUAAGCACCGGCUAACUCUGUGCCAGCCGCCGCCGUAA